rnacentral:rRNA from 1 species
AUUGAACGCUGGCGGCAGGCCUAACGCAUGCAAGUCGAGCGCGAAAGUUCUUCGGAAUGAGUAAAGCGGCGGACGGGUGAGUAAUACAUGGGAAUCUGCCUGGUAGUGGGGGACAACGUUUCGAAAGGAACGCUAAUACCGCAUACGCCCUACGGGGGAAAGGGGGGGGAGUCUUCGGACCUCUCGCUAUCAGAUGAGCC